CCUACGGGAGGCAGCAGUAGGGAAUCUUCCACAAUGGGCGAAAGCCUGAUGGAGCAACGCCGCGUGGGUGAAGAAGGUCUUCGGAUCGUAAAACCCUGUUGUUAGAGAAGAAAGUGCGUGAGAGUAACUGUUCACAUUUCGACGGUAUCUAACCAGAAAGCCACGGCUAACUACGUGCCAGCAGCCGCGGUAAUACGUAGGUGGCAAGCGUUAUCCGGAUUUAUUGGGCGUAAAGGGAACGCAGGCGGUCUUUUAAGUCUGAUGUGAAAGCCUUCGGCUUAACCGGAGUAGUGCAUUGGAAACUGGGAUACUUGAGUGCAGAAGAGGAGAGUGGAACGCCAUGUGUAGCGGUGAAAUGCGUAGAUAUAUGGAAGAACACCAGUGGCGAAAGCGGCUAUCUGGUCUGUAACUGACGCUGAGGUUCGAAAGCGUGGGUAGCAAACAGGAUUAGAUACCCUAGUAGUC
rnacentral:rRNA from 1 species